GUAGAGACACUUUUGACUUGAUCUCUGCAGUCCUCAACAUGCCAUCUUCUAUCCCGAGGGCAGCCAUCUUCUAUCCUGAGGGAAGCUGGCCUGAGGAUGAAGCCAGAAUAUGGAGAAGAGGAGGAGGAGAUAGCUGAGGAGCAGAACAGAAACCUGAACUGCAUUUUUCUUAGAGCAAGAAUUGCAUCAAUUCUUCAAACCAAGUUGAGCACUGUUGGUUUCCGUUACUUGGAACUUAAUAAAAUCUGACAGAUACUGUACAAGGAACAGUACUUGGGGAGCUCCACUUUAUCUGAGGCAUUCGUGAGUGGCUUGUGUCACAUUCCUGGCUGUUCAGGCAUCAGUCCUGGUUUCCUGAUGAGCUCUCGGCUGACUCCACCCAGAGCUCUCUUGCUUCCU
rnacentral:lncRNA from 1 species